UACGGAGGAUCCAAGCGUUAUCCGGAAUCAUUGGGUUUAAAGGGUCCGUAGGCGGCUUGUUAAGUCAGUGGUGAAAGCCCAUCGCUCAACGAUGGAACGGCCAUUGAUACUGACAGGCUUGAAUUACUGGGAAGUAACUAGAAUAUGUAGUGUAGCGGUGAAAUGCUUAGAUAUUACAUGGAAUACCAAUUGCGAAGGCAGGUUACUACCAGUGGAUUGACGCUGAUGGACGAAAGCGUGGGGAGCGAACAGG
rnacentral:rRNA from 1 species